rnacentral:rRNA from 1 species
CGGAACGGGUGAGUAACGCGUGAGGAACCUGCCUCAAAGAGGGGGGAAACAGUUGGAAACGACUGCUAAUACCGCAUAAGCCCACAGGUCGGCAUCGACCAGAGGGAAAAGGAGCAAUCCGCUUUGAGAUGGCCUCGCGUCCGAUUAGCUAGUUGGUGAGGUAAUGGCCCACCAAGGCAACGAUCGGUAGCCGGACUGAGAGGUUGAACGGCCACAUUGGGACUGAGACACGGCCCAG